UGUGGAACCAGGAAGUGGUAACUCCUUGAACCUCAUCACUCCUUCACACCUUCCGUGUGACUCAUUUUGAUGAAAUUCAACGAACUCCGAGCACCUGCUCACGGAGUAGAGUCUUUUUUAGCUAGAAAGCUCCACAGCUCCCCUCCCCCAAGAUUCGGGAACCCAGGCCAUGAAGAGGCUCAGCAGAGUGACCAGUGGACCUCAGGGGACAGUGCCCCUUCCCGGCUACCCCUGACUGUGCCAGUGCCCUCAUCCCUUUGCUGGGUGCAGUGGGGACUGGCCUUCCAGGGGCUCACAGGUUCUGUGAUCAGAAGAGCCUGGAGGAAAAAAAAAAAGAAGACCCUGGAGAGUUUGGGGAAUCAGCUCCCUCCUCAGAAUGAGCUAGAUGUGUUAUACCUGUUGCUUGAGCUGACACAGUCACGUGCUGGGUGAUUCAGAUCAGAAAACCUCAGCAGCAGGCCCAGGUUCUGCAUCCCUCAGUCUAGACCUCUAGAAAACCCUGUGCUUG
rnacentral:lncRNA from 1 species